UACGUAGGGACCGAGCGUUGUCCGGAAUCAUUGGGCGUAAAGAGCGUGUAGGCGGCUUGCUAAGUCUUGCGUGAAAUCUCGGGGCUCAACCCCGAGCGGUCGUGGGAAACUGGCAGGCUAGAGUGCGGGAGAGGAGAAUGGAAUUCCUGGUGUAGCGGUGAAAUGCGCAGAUAUCAGGAAGAACACCCGUGGCGAAGGCGGUUCUCUGGAAUGCAACUGACGCUGAGACGCGAAAGCGUGGGGAGCAAACAGG
rnacentral:rRNA from 1 species